GAAAGCCGGAUGAGGGAGAACCUCAUGUCCGGUUUGAUGAGGGGGAGCUGAAAUGAGUAGGCGACCCAAAGGGGUCGCUGCAAAAUUUCAGUUCUCUACUCUAC
rnacentral:ncRNA from 1 species